AAGUAACCCCACAGAUCUCCACAUAAUCCUAGCAACAGGGCAGGUAAAGAAAAGAUGUUGUGAGGUUUCCCUUUCACGACAAAAUUCCCUUUCGCGACAAAAGGAGCAUGUGGGAUUCCCGGGCCAAUUUCUUUUCAUCACAUGCCUAGUCAUAGCAUCUUGUGACAGUUUCCACAUGAAUAUUUUAUUUUUUAGAGGUAAUUUUGCUUUCCAGAUCCACUUAUAGUGGCAGCCAUGAAGUGGUUUUUCCAACCACUUAUACAUGGAUUUGGUAGAGAAUUUGCCAUCACUAGUCAGACCCCACAUCACUCUAUCACUAUUCUGAGUGACGGUAAUUCUAGGGAUAGUAUUAUGCAUCUCACUUCAUUGAACGCUAAGCUCCGGAUUUAACCUUCUCCUAAAGAAGGAAUUAUCAUCCACUGGGUACAAUUUCUUCAAAGUGCAGUCAGGUUCAUUGCAUAUAUCAAACAACAAAGAGAACUGCUCCUUGAACGGAGGAAGCCCGUUAAUUGAAUCCUGCCACACUGUGGCAAUAUUCCCCGACUCAAUGUUAAUUUUCUUCCCCACCAAAUAGUAUUCCUUGACCUUUAAAAUUGCCUUCCAGCAUGGUGAAUCAGAGAAUUUUCUUCCCCACCAAAUAGUAUUCAUUGACCUUUAAAAUUGCCUUCCAGCAUGGUGAAUCAGAGAAUCUGGGCUCAACAGUAGCCACAGACUUAUUACGGAGAUAUCUAGCUUUGAUAAUAUCUUGCGAGACCCCCUUCCGCGUCUCCAAUUUCCACCACCAUUUAACUAUCAAACCGAUAUUCUGUUUACGAAGGUCUUUGACCCCUAGACCCCCUUUAUUUUUGGAUCUACAAACCCUGCUCCAUUUGACCAAAUGAUAUCUCCUCUUCUUAUUGCUACCUUGCCGUCUAUGUUUAUUUAGCUUUUCAAUGAAUGAUUUAUUCAUGAGCCACAUAAACAUGUGGUAAAUGGAGAUCUGAGUGAUAACAGAUUCAAGGAGUGUGAGCCUGCCUCCCAUAAAAGCAGCAUUACCUAUCCAGGCCUCAAACCAUUUCAUAUAUCUCUCCACUAUAAAUUCCCAGUCAGAAUUCUUCAGCGUGGUAUAGCUAACACGCAUACCAAGAUACUUGAUUGGGAAGUUGCCAAUAUCACAAUUGAACAGAUCAGCAUAUGUUUUCACCACAUUAUUAUCACCCCCUAUAGUGAAAAUUUCACUUUUCUGAUAGUUAACUUUAAGUCCCGACAUCAUCUCAAGAAUAUAAAGCAGUAACUACAGGUUAACUGCCUUCUCCACAUCAUGUUCUAUGCAGAUGAUCGUGUCAUCUGCAUACUGCAGAACAGCAAUCCCAUCAGGGAUGAGAUCUGAAGCAAGCCCUACUAGCAGCUUGUUUUGAUUAGCAUUCUUAAUCAUCUUCGAGAGGCACUCCGCAGCCAAAUUGAAUAAGAAUGGAGAGUGGGGGUCACCCUGCCGCACCCCUUUGGCACUUUGGAAGUAUGGACCCACACAGUUAUUCAACUUAAUACUGACUGUACCAUUAUACAAGAUCUGUUUAAUCCAGCCACACCAUGUUUAAUUGAAGCCUCUCAUCUUGUGGCAUUCCAAAAGGGAAUCCAAAUUGACCUUGUCAUAGGCUUUCUCAAAGUCAAGUUUCACCACAAUGCCAACCUUUUGUUUAACAUGAGUAUAGUUAAGUAUCUCAUGUAAGGCUACGAUCCCAUCCAUGAUAUUUCUACCUUUGAUGAAUGUGUUUUGUGUCGAACUGAUCAAGAUAUCAAAAACAACAGCCGCACGACGGUCCAACACUUUAGUAAUAAAUUUGUAUGGACAUCUAAGAAGGCAAAUAGGCCUAAAUUGCUGAAUCCUAUCUGCACCCAAAACUUUGGGCAGCAAAGAAAUCACUCCAUAAUUGAGGCGUUUAACAUCGAGUGUUCCCUUUUGGAAGUGGUGGAACAAGGACAUAAUGUCAUCUUUUAUUAUCUCCCAACAGAUCUGAUAAAAUUCAACAGGAAUAUUAUCAGGACCCGGUGCUCUAUUAGUAGCCAUGUCAAACAAGGCGUUUUUUUUACCUCCGACUCCGUGAACUCAUGGCAAAGUAUUGCAUUAUCAGCCUCACUCAACUUCUCCUCCUCCGACCAGGUGUUGGGAUCUAAGUGGAACAUUUUGCCAAGGGCGGGGCCAAAGAGUUCUUUAUAGAAAUCAGUGGCAUGGGCAAUAAGCUCAUCAUUACCCUCAAUCACAACAUCUCCAACUUUGAGGGAAUGAAUUGUGUUUUUCCUCUUCUGCCCGUUAGCAAUUUUAUGAUAGUAAUCAGUGUUUAAAUCCCCCUUAAGCAACCACCUCUCAUGUGAUUGCUGCAACCAGAAAAUUUCUUCAUUCACCAACAACUCGUGUAACUCAAAAUUGACAUCCACCUUCUUGUUAUACAGCUCACGUGGUAGAGGUCCAUCAUCCUCCAGAAGAGCCAACUCAUCUCUGAGUUCCUCCUUUCUUUUCUUAUCACACCCAAUCUUAUCUGAACACCAUCCUUUAAAGUAGGAUUUUAUCCUUUUCAACUUAAUAUUCAGGAUGUCUAUGGGAUCAACAUAUCACACUGAUCUGGUCCAAAUCUUGUUAACAGUAGGUAAGAAUUUAUCGUCUUUGAUCCAGGAGAGAUCAAAGCGGAAUUUACGAGUUUUAGGAGUAUAUCUCCCUUCCUCGCCCGAGUACAGUAACAAGGGGUUGUGAUCAGCGAUUUCGCGAACUAGUUUCCUAACUGAAACCAAAGAAAAUAGGUCUUCCCAUGUCUCAGACAUCAGGAUAUGGUCAAGUUUUUCUAAGGUAGGAUGGGUCUGCUUAUUAGUCCAGGUGUAUUUACCCCCGCUGACAUGAAUUUCUCUCAAGGCCAGAGUGUUAAUGACCGAGUUGAACAGGUCAGAAGAUUUGCGGUUCGAAAACUUUUUGUUUCUCUCGCCGGAGUGUCUGAGAAUUUAUACAUAUGAAUGUGCAGUUAACCUACAAUUUAGUAAUGCUGCGGUAAGAACCAUUUACCUCUGAGAGUUAGCAAAUGAGCUUUUUUUUCCUCCCCAAAGUAGGUCAUUAGCUUCAGAGAUUCUGAUUUUUGUUCGCCACUUCAUGUUGAAUUUGGUUGACAGUAAAAAUGUACACACAUCACUAUUUACCAUAUAUGGUGAUACUUGCGCAUUUUUGCUUUAGACACCUCUUGCAGCUGCAUCGCAUCAUUUGCCUGAACUUUUUCUGAACAGUCUAUUUAAUGUUAAAUUGGCGAAAGGCCUCAACCAGAUAGGCUGACCUAUGGGCACAUCAAGUUUAAGCUCACCAUGGACAGGUCAUAGCGUGCCGUUUGCCAAUACAUGCUCUGAAUUUGUAAACAUCCUCUCUCUCGUUCAGCGCAUAGCAGGCAUUUUCUUGCGGACCUCUCUUACCGUGACAACUACCAACAAACCCAUCAGGACUAGUGAUCUGCAGAAGGUUGAUGUGCAACAUGACCAUGGCAUCCUUCUCAUGCCACACUCCCUGGUGAGUUCAAGUACGUAUGGUCAUGACUCUGUCAUUCAUUGUUUCCGAAACAUACUUCCAGUUCACGCUAUAUAUAUGAUGUGAUCCAGUGGGUUUGUGACAGCUAAGUAUGAUUGGAUUUUCUGUCUUGAUGCAAGAUGACAUGGUCAUGGACCCAAGUUAUCAAUCACGUUUGGUCAUUUUGUUUAGGUUUUGAUAAGAAUCAUUUGGAGAAAGACUAGAAACGAAUUACUGAUUUAUAGCUAGUUACCACGGUGGAAAAACUCAGCAUGGAUUGUGGCCUCCCUGUGAAUGCCACAAUCAGCCAGGGUCCAUGGAUCCUGCAGGCAUUUGCCACCGUACACUAACCCACAAGAGCCCUUUAGCUUCCUCCUCGCCUGGACCUUACUCCUGACAGUAGCUACCGUGUCGGAGCUUGCGACGUCAAGGGUGAUGGUCUCACCUGCGAAGAUCCUGACAAAGAUCUGCAUCUUCUCCACCGAUGGCGGCGAACCUGUUCUUCUUUUCGAAGGUGGAAGUUGUUGUGCAGCUUCCUGAACAAACCUCCCCUUGAACGCAUCCGUCAGCGCGGUCUUUGAGUUGAUCACCGCUUGCAGUAGCGUGACAGCCUGCAAUGGAUUGACACACACUAUUAUUCAGAACGAACCAGUAUAAUAAGACAACUGCCGGUGCAUGCACUAUAUGUAGACUUGCCUCUUGUUUGCUGAUAGCAAUGUCCAUCUCCAUCAGGUCUCUCUUGUACCAGUGCUUCAGCAGUGACACGGCAGAAGCCUGAUAUAUACGCAGGAGCAGCCUAUCUUCAACAGGGCAAGGCUCGGAUCCAGCAGCGCCUUUAUGUCGCCGAAGCAGGGUCCCAUCAAGAAUCCAGCAGUGUCUAGAUCGGCGGCGCUGCUGUAAAGAUUGUUGAAACUGCCGCACAGAUGACGGGUGCCGGCCAGGUUCUUGAGGAUGCAUCCCAUCGGGUAGGUCAGGAAGGAGGAGAAGGUCCACGAACUCGUGCUUGCACUCUGCAUACAUGAUCUUCCUGUCCUUCCUGUCGUAGAAAAGCUUGAUGAAAACGUGCGGAUGUGAUUCGGAACCUGUAGGAUCAUUGGUUUCUUGAUGAUGCCGAAGCUUGUGAAUCGUCAGUAGGAGCUCUGAGAGUAAUGAUCUUUUUGCCAAA